rnacentral:rRNA from 1 species
AACUUACACAUGCAAGCAUCCACAUCCCAGUGAGAAUGCCCUCCAGGUCAACAAGACUAAGAGGAGCUGGUAUCAAGCACACACUCGUAGCUCACGACACCUUGCUUAACCACACCCCCACGGGAAACAGCAGUGAUAAAAAUUAAGCCAUAAACGAAAGUUUGACUAAGUUAUGUUAAUUAGGGUUGGUAAAUUUCGUGCCAGCCACCGCGGCCAUACGAUUAACCCAAGCUAACAGGAAUACGGCGUAAAACGUGUUUAAGCACCACACCAAAUAGAGUUAAAUUUUAAUUAAGCUGUAAAAAGCCAUAAUUAUUGUAAAAAUAAAUAACGAAAGUGACUCUACAACAGCUGACACACCAUAGCUAAGACCCAAACUGGGAUUAGAUACCCCACUAUGCUUAGCCCUAAACACAGAUAAUUAUAUAAACAAAAUUAUUCGCCAGAGUACUACUAGCAAUAGCUUAAAACUCAAAGGACUUGGCGGUGCUUCAUAUCCCUCUAGAGGAGCCUGUUCUAUAAUCGAUAAACCCCGAUAAACCUCACCAAUUCUUGCUAAUACAGUCUAUAUACCGCCAUCUUCAGCAAACC